GGGGGUGACUGGUUUCGACUCGGGACGGUAGUCCCAGGAGAAGCGGGCCGAGGAGCCAAGGUCAUCUCGUUAACGAUCCUUGGAACCCAAUAAGUGCCGACAACACGCGCACUGACUUCGCUCUCGCUGCCUGAGCAGUGACCGAAGGGUCAGCCCGGACUCGCCUUCGGUCCGGAUCCUGGCCUCAUCAAGAAGGCUUGCCGCGACGACCGUGCCCUAGGGGCGUCACGGGACACAUCUAGGGCUGGGCUUGUUCACCACGUGCCGGAACGAGGGUGAGAGCCGAGCAGAACACCACCACCGGCUGCGCCCGGAGAAGUCCUGGUUCGCCGCUCAAGGACGCGGGUUCAAUUCCCGCCACCUCCACCU
rnacentral:tmRNA from 1 species